UCCAAAACCUUUAGUUGACAUCGGUGAUGUACCACAUUCAGAGCUGAAAAUAAACCAUGUGUGUCAGUCAGCGUGAGGUUUGGCUGGGCCAUGACUGACCUUGGCCCUGUGAUGGCAUCCUACAACACACUGUUUAUAGACAUGUACAGUAAACAAGCUACAAACAAGUGCCUCAGAUUCUGCAAGUCUUAAUCUAGGUUAUCUGGAGUCAUUCCACAGUGCCCUGCUGAAAAAUACCCCAUAGCGGUGGCAUUUUGGGUACACAAGCAUGAGAGAGUGGACACACCUUGCGGUUAUGGAGCACAACAAGAUUGUGGGACAGAAACCAGCAAGGGACACUGAAAGGAGACGUGCAGUACCAGCAAAUCUUCUGCAAGAGAACCAAACAGUUGGUGGUUAAGAAGCUCUACACCACUUUCGGCAGACUCUUAUCCAGCUGGCCGUUCACCACAGACAGGACAUGACCAUUUGCCAUAAGCACAAAGAGUCUCAGCUUCCCCAGCCCACCAUGCCGAACACCAUAGCCAGUGUACCGAAGCCGGAUGAAUGACUAUGGCUGUUUUUACACAGGAAGCCCAAUUCUGAUCUUUUUUUCACUAAUUGGUCUUUUGACCAAUCAGAUCAGUUCUGAAAAAGAGCUGAUGUGAUUAAUACCAAUUAGUGGGAAGAAUAUCAGAAUUGGGCUGCCUAUGUGAACACAGCUAGUGUGGCUCAGCAUAAGACCAUAUAGAACAGGGGUCUCCAACCCUGUUUCUGGAGAGCUACCCUCCUGUAGGUUUUCGCUCCAAUCCCACUUGUAACUAACGUGGGUCAUCUUAUCAACCAGCUAAUUAUGAGAAUAAGGUUUGCCAGAUUAGGG